AUGCUUCUGAUUGCAUAUUGCACCACAUGUGUUUUUCUUUGAAACAAACUUGCUUUGGCGGUGGGCCCAGCCUGCCGCCAGAGGUCUAAACUUACAACCAAUUUUUUAUCAACUUGUCACACCAGAUUAUUACUAAUAGUCAAAACUUUCAACAACGGAUCUCUUGGUUCUCGCAUCGAUGAAGAACGCAGCGAAAUGCGAUACGUAAUAUGAAUUGCAGAUAUUCGUGAAUCAUCGAAUCUUUGAACGCACAUUGCGCCCUCUGGUAUUCCGGAGGGCAUGCCUGUUUGAGCGUCGUUUCUCCCUCAAACCGCUGGGUUUGGUGUUGAGCAAUACGACUUGGGUUUGCUUGAAAGACGGUAGUGGUAAGGCGGGAUCGCUUUGACAAUGGCUUAGGUCUAACCAAAAACAUUGCUUGCGGCGGCAACGUCUACCACGUAUAUCUUCAAACUUUGACCUCAAAUCAGGUAGGACUACCCGCUGAACUUAAGCAUAUCAAUAAGCGGGAGGAA
rnacentral:rRNA from 1 species